rnacentral:rRNA from 1 species
AGCAACCCCAGGUCAUGCAGGAUUACCCGCUGAGUUUAAGCAUAUCAAUAAGUGGAGGAAAAGAAACUUACAAGGAUUCCCUUAGUAACGGCGAGCGAACUGGGAAAUCCCCAUGUUGAGAAUCGGGUGCCUACGGCAUCCAAAUUGUAGUAUGGCGAAGCGUCCUCAGCGGCAAACUGAGCUCAAGUCCCCUGGAAGGGGGUGCCGGAGAGGGUGAGAGCUCUGUCACGCUCGGACCUGAGUCGGGUUGUUUGGGAAUGCAGCCCAAAUCGGGCGGUAAAUUCCGUCUAAGGCUAAAUAUUGGCGAGAGACCGAUAGAAAACAAGUACAGCGAGGGAAAGAUGAAAAGGACUUUGAGAAAAGAGUCAAAGAGUACUUGAAAUUGUCGGGAGGGAAGCAGAUGGGGGCUGGCGGUGUGUCCAGGUUGGAUGUUGAACGGCGAUGAGAAGGUCUGCCAAUCGACUCAGGGCAUGGACCGAUCCAGAUUGGGCCGGCGUCGCAAGCCCGAGCCUUUGUUGUGCUCGCAGAGAUGUCAUCGCCCCGAUCGUGGCUCGCAGAGAUUGGCGUGCUCAGGCACCAGCGCGCUCCAGGCAUCAGCCUGUGGGCUCCCCAUUUGGCCCGUCUGGCGGGAUCCCCUUGAGGGUUGCACCGCCGACCGACUUUGAUCUUCUGAGAAGGGUUCGAGUGUGAGCAUGGCUGUCGGGACCCAAAAGAUGGUGAACUAUGCUUGAGCUGGGCGAAGCCAGAGGAAACUCUGGUGGAGGCCAGCUGCAAUACUGACGUGCAAAUCAUUCAUCUGACUUGGGUAUAGGGAUGGAAGAUAAUCGAACCGUCUAGUAGCUGGUUCCCUCCAAAGUUUCCCUCAGGAUAGCUGGAGCCCAUGAGCGAGUUCUAUCAGGUAAAGCCAAUGAUUAGAGGCAUCCGGGGCGCAACGCCCUCGACCUAUUCUCAAACUUUCAAUAGGGCCAUUUUUGGUAAGCAGAACUGGCAAUCCUGGAUGAACUGAAAGCCGGGUUACGAUGCCCAACUGCUCCCUAACCUAGAAACCACAAAGGGUGUUGGUCGAUUAAGACAGCAGGACGGUGGUCAUGGAAGUCAAAAUCCGCUAAGGAGUGUGUAACAACUCACCUGCCGAAUCAACUAGCCCUAAAAUCGGAUGGCGCUGAAGCGCGCGGCCUAUACCUGGCAGCCGGGGCAAGUACCAAGCCCUAAUGAGUAGGAGGUCACAGCGGUCGCUGCAAAAACUAUGGCGCCAGCCGGGGCAAAGCGGUCGUCGGUGCACCUCGAGAAGAGUUAUCUUUUCUGUUUAACAGCCUGCCCACCCUGGAAAUGGCUCAGCCGGAGGUAGGGUCCAGUGGCUCCAAGAGCACUGCACCUCGCGAGGUGUCUGGUACGUCCUCGACGGCCCUUGAAAAUUUUGACGACCGAGUGCCUCCCACGCCUGGUCGUACUCAUAACCGCAUCAGGUCUCCAAGGUGAACAGCCUCGGGUCGAUGGAACAAUGUAGGCAAGGGAAGUCGGCAAAAGAGAUCCGUAACAUCGGGAAGGUUGGCUGUCAAUGGACUGCUCGAGCUGCUCUCUUAAGGUAGCCAAAUGCUUCGUCAUCUAAUUAGUGACGCGCAUGAAUAGAUUAACGAGAUUCCCACUGUCCUUGUCUACUAUCCAGUCAAACCACAGCCAAGGUAAUGGACUUGGCAGAAUCAGCGGGGAGAGAAGACCCUGUUGAGCUUGACUCUGGUCCGACUCUGUGAAAUAACUUGAGAGGUGUAGGAUAAGUGGGAGCCGAAAACGGCGAAAGUGAAAUACAACUACUUUUACUGUUAUUUUACUUAUUCUGUGAAUCGGAAGCGGGGCAACGCCCCUCUUUUGAGACCCAAGGCCCGCCUUGGUGGGUCACUCCGGGCGGAAGACAUUGUCAGGUGGGGAGUUUGGCUGCGGCGUUGCGCUCUCUCUGAUCCCCCUAUCUUGCGUCAAAGGAAAAGGAAUGACAAACGUGCCAAAGUGCCUUCAGUUCCAGCUGCCGCAGUUUUGAAGCCUAUGAAAGGCACUAUCCCCGAGAAUCCAUUCAAAGUCCCUGAGAAGAGUGGGAAAGUCGUGGCACCAUCCUCUAAAGAUGCCUUGUUGCCUUCUCACGGCAAGGCUUGGAGCAAAAAGGAAAAAUUUGGGCAGCCCAAAGCGGUUUUGGUGGGUUCUGUGUCUAGUCGCCCGAGCAAGGAGGUUUUUGUCCUGGAGGAUAAAUCCUCAGACUCAGAUGUCUCUUCUGAUACUGACUCGCAGGACUCUCUGUUGGAGCGGGGCUC